rnacentral:rRNA from 1 species
GACAGAGGUCUCAAGCGUUAGGCGGAAUCACUGGGCUUAAAGCGUGUGUAGGCGGAUGUCUAAGUGCUUUGUGAAAUCCCACGGCUUAACCGUGGAACUGCUUGGCAUACUGGAUGUCUUGAGCCAACUAGGGGCGACCGGAACAAACGGUGGAGCGGUGAAAUGCGUAGAUAUCGUUUGGAACGCCAAUGGUGAAAACAGGUCGCUGGGGUUGUGCUGACGCUGAGACACGAAAGCCAGGGGAG